GAUGAACGCUGGCGGCGUGCCUAAUACAUGCAAGUCGAGCGAACAGACGAGGAGCUUGCUCCUCUGACGUUAGCGGCGGACGGGUGAGUAACACGUGGAUAACCUACCUAUAAGACUGGGAUAACUUCGGGAAACCGGAGCUAAUACCGGAUAAUAUAUUGAACCGCAUGGUUCAAUAGUGAAAGACGGUUUUGCUGUCACUUAUAGAUGGAUCCGCGCCGCAUUAGCUAGUUGGUAAGGUAACAGCUUACCAAGGCAACGAUGCGUAGCCGACCUGAGAGGGUGAUCGGCCACACUGGAACUGAGAAACGGUCCAGACUCCUACGGGAGGCAGCAGUAGGGAAUCGUCCGCAAUGGGCGAAAGCCUGACGGAGCAACGCCGCGUGAGUGAUGAAGGUCUUCGGAUCGUAAAACUCUGUUAUUAGGGAAGAACAAAUGUGUAAGUAACUAUGCACGUCUUGACGGUACCUAAUCAGAAAGCCACGGCUAACUACGUG
rnacentral:rRNA from 1 species